rnacentral:rRNA from 1 species
GAUGAACGCUGGCGGCGUGCCUAAUACAUGCAAGUCGAGCGAACAGACGAGGAGCUUGCUCCUUUGACGUUAGCGGCGGACGGGUGAGUAACACGUGGAUAACCUACCUAUAAGACUGGGAUAACUUCUGGAAACCGGAGCUAAUACCGGAUAACAUGUUGAACCGCAUGGUUCAACAGUGAAAGACGGUUUUGCUGUCACUUAUAGAUGGAUCCGCGCCGCAUUAGCUAGUUGGUAAGGUAACGGCUUACCAAGGCAACGAUGCGUAGCCGACCUGAGAGGGUGAUCGGCCACACUGGAACUGAGACACGGUCCAGACUCCUACGGGAGGCAGCAGUAGGGAAUCUUCCGCAAUGGGCGAAAGCCUGACGGAGCAACGCCGCGUGAGUGAAGAAGGUCUUCGGAUCGUAAAACUCUGUUAUUAGGGAAGAACAAAUGUGUAAGUAACUAUGCACGUCUUGACGGUACCUAAUCAGAAAGCCACGGCUAACUACGUG